rnacentral:rRNA from 1 species
GACGAACGCUGGCGGCGUGCUUAACACAUGCAAGUCGAACGAAGUCCAACCAGUGGCAACACUGGGGAAGACUUAGUGGCGAACGGGUGAGUAACACGUGAGAAACCUUCCCCGAAGACCGGGGUAAGCCCUCGAAAGGGGGUCGUAAUACCGGAUGUCCCCUCCCAUGUCGCAUGGCGAGGAGAGGAAAUGGUCAGCCGCUUCGGGACGGUCUCGCGGCCUAUCAGCUUGUUGGUGAGGUAACGGCUCACCAAGGCAGCGACGGGUAGCUGGUCUGAGAGGACGGAUCAGCCACACUGGGACUGAGACACGGCCCAGACUCCUACGGGAGGCAGCAGUGGGGAAGUCUUGCGCAAUGGGCGAAAGCCUGACGCAGCAACGCCGCGUGCGGGAUGAAGGCCU